GGACAUUAAACCCUAUCCUUGUAUUUUCAUAAAGUUAUUUAUAUCACUUGAGUUAAUAUGAUGCAUUAGGUGAAUAGGAGUUGAGUGAAUCCUAUUUGUUGCAUUAUCUACCUUGAUGAUUUCCAUAUUAACCUUGAUACCUGCUUUAUGAAAAUGCUUAGUAUGCUUAGCCCUGCUUAUUAGAUAAGUUUUCAAAUGAGAACGUUUGAAGGGUCGUUGUGGAAUACUUUUAUGGUUAAUAAUGUUUAAACUUGAGACCGGUCGGUGGACUUGCUUUAAGAAUGG
rnacentral:lncRNA from 1 species